UGCUUUUACUCUCAACUCUAGACUAUUUCAUCUAAAAUAUUUUUAAGCAUUUCAGCUCGAGUGAAAGCUUUACAUUCAGACUCUCUUAACAAAAAACAAUCAGACUCUCUUAACAAAAAACAAUAAAUAAUAAACAUGAUGUGAAAAACCAAAAUAGAAAAGUAAAACAAUGCAGAAGCAGAAAACAAAUUAAUAAGGGGACAAUGUAAGUAAGAAUUGAGGUACCAUAUUGACAAGUUAACUUCAAGAAAUAAUGGUAAUUCCUCCAUGAUGCAUAAAAGCUUUGUUAGUAGUAUGGUUAGUCCUAAUUAUGUUUCUAGUUGCAUCAUAAACAAAACCAAACCUCUUAUGAACAGCUUCAUCCUCUACACCAUAAUGAUUUAUCUAGUAUAUAUGGCUGAUGCAUCCAGUUUAGUGUUAUUAAUUUCUAUUUACACAAGUUAGUGUGUGAAUGUAAAUUUAAAUUAUAAUCAUAAUUCAAUUUAGAUUUCUAUUAACAUCUACCACUAGUUUAAGUUUGACAUAGAAAGUCAUCAUGAAAUUGUUAAUUUGAAAACUCACUGAGGUAUUGAAUAACAUUGAAUUUGAGGAAUAAAAUUUACUAGCAACAAAUUUCAAAACUCAAGCAAAACAACCUGAUAAAAAAUCCAAAUUCCAAACUCAGUGCAAAAAAAAAUCCAAAUUCAAUUCAACUGAUAAGAAAUUCCAAAUUUCAAACAAAUUCCAAACGCAUUGCAUAUGAAGUUAUACCAUGACAUGCAAACAAUUGAACCUAUGUCAAGGGAAAGGGGAAAUUGGAUUGAAACCUAAUAGAAGAAGUAAAAUUAGCGCAAAAAGAAGGAACAAAUCAGAAAGCAGUAAAAUUUGAGUAAAAUUAGGGCACAAAAAUGCAAAAUCAGAAAACAAAUCAUGCAUCUGCAAGGUGAACAUUGAAAAUUUAUUGAAGAACAACUCAACGAGUCUGUGAAUCUUUGUGAUGGCGAGGUGAAAUUCGAACGACGAAAACGGUGGAUCUGAAACGUUGGCCUCGAUUGAUGCGGCGGAGGAGGGAAUUUCCGAGACGAUGGAAGCGAUAGAUUUCAUCGAUAUUUUUCGGCACGGAAAAGUGAAAUAUUUGGGAGAUGAAAAUUUGGGGAAAUCGGGAAAGAGAGAGUGAAAAGAAUAAUUGCUCGGAUUGAUAUGCAAAAUAUAA
rnacentral:lncRNA from 1 species